UACGAGGGGGGCAAGCGUUGUUCGGAAUUAUUGGGCGUAAAGGGUGCGUAGGCGGCCGUUCAAGUCGGGGGUGAAAGCCUGUGGCUCAACCACAGAAUGGCCCUCGAUACUGGAUGGCUCGAGACCGGAAGAGGUUGGUGGAACUGCGAGUGUAGAGGUGAAAUUCGUAGAUAUUCGCAAGAACACCAGUGGCGAAGGCGGCUGACUGGUCCGGUUCUGACGCUGAGGCGCGAAAGCGUGGGGAGUAAACAGG
rnacentral:rRNA from 1 species